rnacentral:rRNA from 1 species
GCUUGCUCCUUUGAAGUUAGCGGCGGACGGGUGAGUAACACGUGGGUAACCUACCUAUAAGACUGGGAUAACUUCGGGAAACCGGAGCUAAUACCGGAUAACAUUUAGAACCGCAUGGUUCUAAAGUGAAAGAUGGUUUUGCUAUCACUUAUAGAUGGACCCGCGCCGUAUUAGCUAGUUGGUAAGGUAACGGCUUACCAAGGCGACGAUACGUAGCCGACCUGAGAGGGUGAUCGGCCACACUGGAACUGAGACACGGUCCAGACUCCUACGGGAGGCAGCAGUAGGGAAUCUUCCGCAAUGGGCGAAAGCCUGACGGAACAACGCCGCGUGAGUGAUGAAGGGGU